UUCUAAUGAAUGAAAUGGGCUUAAUACUGAGAGUCCGAUAAGACAUCUAGGCUACGGGACACUGGUUGACCCAAUAAGGAUACCGUAAUUUGGAUCCUCGUUGUAAUUGCGAAAGAGACAUUGCGCAAGAUUCUUGAUUAAAAGGUCAGGCCGAAGAUAAGAAAGCCCAUGAAAAGUGAAGAGUAUCUUGGAAAGUUGGAAAGAGAAGAACGGAGGCGCUAAGAACAGACAAUGGGCAGCGGUGUUUACAUGCCAGAAAACGUGGCUAGG